rnacentral:misc_RNA from 1 species
UACGGAGGGUGCAAGCGUUAAUCGGAAUUACUGGGCGUAAAGCGCAUGUAGGCGGCUUUGUAAGUCUGGUGUGAAAUCCCUGAACUCAAUUCAGGAAGUGCAUUGGAUACUGCAAGGCUAGCGUACAGGAGAGGUGGAUGGAAUUCCUGGUGUAGAGGUGAAAUUCGUAGAUAUCAGGAGGAACAACAGAGGCGAAGGCGAUUCACUGGACUGUAACUGACGCUGAGAUGCGAAAGUGUGGGGAGCAAACAGG